UACAGAGACGGCAAGCGUUGUUCGGAUUUACUGGGCGUAAAGGGUCCGCAGGUGGCCAAGCAAGUCUGAUGUGAAAUCCCGCAGCUUAACUGUGGAACUGCAUCGGAAACUACUUGGCUGGAGGAUGGUAGAGGAGUCUGGAAUUCUUGGUGUAGCGGUGAAAUGCGUAGAUAUCAAGAGGAACACCGGUGGCGAAGGCGAGACUCUGGCCCAUUCCUGACACUCAUGGACGAAAGCGUGGGGAGCAAACGGG
rnacentral:rRNA from 1 species